UUGACCCGUCUUGAAACACGGACCAAGGAGUCUAACAUGUGCGCGAGUCAUUGGGUCUUGAUUAGGCCCAAAGGCGUAAUGAAAGUGAAGGGCGGUUCGGCCGUCUGCCUUGGGAUCCCGUGGACCUAGCGUUCGCGGGCGCACCAAGGGCCCGUCCCGGUCGCCUCGUCGACGGGGCGGAGCAAGAGCGUACACGUUGGGACCCGAAAGAUGGUGAACUAUGCCUGGGCAGGACGAAGCCAGAGGAAACUCUGGUGGAGGUCCGCAGCGAUUCUGACGUGCAAAUCGAUCGUCAGACCCCAAACGCUUGAUUAAGGGGCCCGAUGCGAGACGCUCAUGAGAUCCCAUGAAAGGUGUUGGUUGCUAUAGACAGCAGGACGGUGGCCAUGGAAGUCGGAAUCCCGCUAAGGAGUGUGUAACAACUCACCUGCCGAAGCAACUAGCCCUGAAAAUGGAUGGCGCUUCAGCGUCUACCCCAUAUCAAGCCGCUGCGGCCGAAAAGCCUCGUGUUUUAAGCCGCAGUGAGUAGGAGGGGCGCGGAGGCGAGCGUCGAAGGUGCCGGGCGUAAGCCCGCCUGGAGCCGCCUCCGGCGCAGAUCUUGGUGGUAGUAGCAAAUACUCAAGUGAGAACCUUGAGGACUGAGGUGGAGAAGGGUUCCAUGUGAACAGCAGUUGAACAUGGGUCAGUCGGUCCUAAGGGAUAGGAGAAAUCCGUUCCGAGGCGGGACCUCUCUAAGCAAGUCCCGCUGAUGACCGAAAGGGAAUCGGGUUAAUAUUCCCGAACCCGGACACGGAGAUCGUCCUUUUCGGAGGUACAUUGCGGUAACGCAAACGAGCUCGGAGACGUCGACGGGAGCACCGGGAAGAGUUAUCUUUUCUUUGUAAGGAUUCGACUCCCUGGAAUCGGCUCGCCCGGAGAUAGGGAUGGUGUUUCCGUAAAGCACCGCGCCUCUUGCGGUGUCCGGAUCGCUCCCGUCGGCCCUUGAAAAUCCGAGUGAGAGAUAGUGAUUUUCGUGCCGGA
rnacentral:rRNA from 1 species